UAAAGCGUGUCAGUUUAUCACUUUCACGAGGUUGGCGAAAUAACAUGUUCAACUACUUAAGAAACUAGCUCGAAUCUAGGUUUUGCCUUUUGAUUUCGAGAAAAUUAACAACUGAGGUAGAUAUUUUAACUUCUCUCAUUGACUUCUCAAGCCCCAAACCCCGGCAUGUUCUGUUUACUAUUUCAGAAGCGUUCCUGGAUGUCUCGCGAUGUUGCGCCUCUGGGUUUAGAAACUCUGUGAUUUGGGCAAUAAAACAGGUUGUCAGACACAGUCUACAUCUGGGUAGAGAAACAUCCAAUACAUUCUGAAGUAUGUGCUGUAUUUGGCUUCUAUUCUGAACAUCUACUUGUGAUAUCUGUCUGGUUGACAGCCAUCAGUAAGCUUCGUUGACUUAAGGUAGACCAGAAAGGCCACAUCCCAGAAGGGCAGAUGAGCAGCAACGCUGACUAGAAGCACCCGCUGCUGUUACUUUACAAAUGUUUUGAAUGGAAAUAAACGUGUAUCUACACACUGAAGAAGGCUGUAAAGCCGGAAAAUCUGUACACAAUCCCUGAUGCAGUAAAAAUAAUUGAACAUAAAAUGAUGAAGUAAGCUUUAUGGUAAUUUACUGAAGCCUAAGUAGCUUGAUGUACUGAAUAAUUAUUGGGACUUCUAAAGCACUUGAACUCUAUCAUGUGGUAUUUACACCUUCACCGACAUGGAAAGAGAUUCAGAGGAAGACAGCAUGACUACUACUUUACACACCCAGCACCAUUUCACUUGAACAGACAGAUGAGAAAAUUGAUUUUCACAAACCAACAUUUUCUAUUUCAUUGACACUAACUAGGCAAGUCAAUUAUGAACAAAUUAUUUACACAUUUUUAUUCAGGGUUUCUAGAUUAGUAACUGAGGCUGGUGGCAGUUAUAUUGUAUUAAGUUAUUAAAGUAACAUGAAAAAGUUAGCCUUGUUUGACCAUCCUGUUAAGUCAUGCUGAUGGGUCAGAGUUGAGAUGUGUUUUUGAUCACUAAUGCCUCAAUAGCUUCUACUGAGCCUAAGAGCACACAUCUGUCAAAAACAAAUUGUGAAGCAGGCACACAUUUAUUUCAGGAAACGGUACAAUAUUACUGUAGCAUUCACUGUCUGUUUUGGGGUAUUUUCAUAUCUAAUCUCCAAGCAAGUCAGACCUACAAGAUCAACAAGAGAAUGGGUGGAGGAAUAAAAUAAUUUAAAUAACGAGUGGAUAAGGCAGAGAGAGACCGCGAUCAAGACAGAACUGAUAAACAGAAAGCGGAGAAAGAAAAGCGGACCGAAGAGGAUGACGGGCAGCUCCUUGCUAAGAACGUGAAAAUGGAAACAUAACUAAAGAUGGAAGAAAAACGUAGGCAGCGACUGGAGAAGAAAAUACUGAAAUUAAUGGACCCCAAUAGACAGCGAGAGAAAGAUGAAAGGAUGAGUGAAGCGGAAAAAAGCAAAUGUAAAAAGGAGAUCAGAAAAAUGUAUGAAAUGUAUCCACAUAUUAAGAGACAAAGGCAUACACGGUUAAAUGAUCCACAUAAUGAAUUAUUGGACGAGGAACACAAUCAUUGUAUACCUUUAAUAUCCACAAUUGCGCUGCCUGUUUUAUUUUCCCCAAAUGAUGUGCUUAAAGGGAUAGUUCACACACAUGACUUAGUGGUUUAAGCAUUUCGCUACACUCGCAUUUAACAUCUGCUAACCAUGUGUAUGUGACAAAUACAAUUUGAUUUGAUUUAAUAACCCUGUUAGCUGUUUUUGUUUACCUGGCUGCUGCCACCAAAUGCUUUUCAAACCAAUGCCUGUCAAUAUCUGAGAAUCCUCUGUAGCUUUGCAAUAAAUAGAUUCUAUUGAU